rnacentral:tRNA from 1 species
UGUAGCUCAGUGGUAGAGCCUUUGCCUAGCAUGCACAAAGUCCUGGGUUUUGAACCCCAGCA